rnacentral:rRNA from 1 species
UGCGCAGGCGGAGCGACAAGUCAGUGGUGAAAUCUUACAGCUCAACUGUAAAAUUGCCAUUGAUACUGGAUUUCUUGAAUUAAUGUGAAGUGGUUAGAAUGUGUAGUGUAGCGGUGAAAUGCAUAGAUAUUACACAGAAUACCAAUUGCGAAGGCAGAUCACUAACAUUAUAUUGACGCUGAGGGACGAAAGCGUGGGGAGCGAACAGGAUUAGAUACCCUGGUAGUCC